rnacentral:rRNA from 1 species
UACGGGGGGGGCAAGCGUUGUUCGGAAUUACUGGGCGUAAAGGGCUCGUAGGCGGCCAACUAAGUCAGACGUGAAAUCCCUCGGCUUAACCGGGGAACUGCGUCUGAUACUGGAUGGCUCGAGUUUGGGAGAGGGAUGCGGAAUUCCAGGUGUAGCGGUGAAAUGCGUAGAUAUCUGGAGGACACCGGUGGCGAAGGCGGCAUCCUGGACCAACACGUGACGCUGAGGAGCGAAAGCCAGGGGAGCAA